CUGUGUGUCUUACCAAGGUAGUAUAUACAUGUUGUUAUAUAGAUAAUAAACUGUGUCUUACCAAGGUAGUAUAUACAUGUUAUUAUAUAGAUAAUAAACUGUGUGUCUUACCAAGGUAGUAUAUACAUGUUAUUAUAUAGAUAAUAAACUGUGUCUUACCAAGGUAGUAUAUACAUGUUAUUAUAUAGAUAAUAAACUGUGUGUCUUACCAAGGUAGUAUAUACAUGUUGUUAUAUAGAUAAUAAACUGUGUCUUACCAAGGUAGUAUAUACAUGUUAUUAUAUAGAUAAUAAACUGUGUCUUACCAAGGUAGUAUAUACAUGUUGUUAUAUAGAUAAUAAACUGUGUCUUACCAAGGUAGUAUAUACAUGUUAUUAUAUAGAUAAUAAACUGUGUGUCUUACCAAGGUAGUAUAUACAUGUUGUUAUAUAGAUAAUAAACUGUGUCUUACCAAGGUAGUAUAUACAUGUUAUUAUAUAGAUAAUAAACUGUGUGUCUUACCAAGGUAGUAUAUACAUGUUAUUAUAUAGAUAAUAAACUGUGUCUUACCAAGGUAGUAUAUACAUGUUAUUAUAUAGAUAAUAAACUGUGUGUCUUACCAAGGUAGUAUAUACAUGUUAUUAUAUAGAU